rnacentral:lncRNA from 1 species
AAGUUAUAGGAUCUAUUUAGCAUGGCUAUUUCUAUAAAAUUUAAAACAUGCCAAAAUAACCAGCAGAGCAUCUGGGGUGCCUAUUUAGGUGGCGUGGGAGACUGCAUUUCCCCUCAAUGGCUGCAAUGGCAUUUCUCGUCCCACCUGUUCUUCCAGAGCCUGGCCGCUCCCUCGCCAAGAGGUGGAAUCGGUGACCCCUCCCCCUGAACCAGUUGGGACGUUGUGACCUGACCACUUCAACUGACAUUAUGUGACUUCUGAGGCCAGGUCACGAAAGACCACACAGCUUCCGUCUGGUGUUCUCUCUUGGGGCACUCAUCCUGGGAACGCAGCCACCACGUGGUGACGAAGCCCGGGCCACACGGAGAGGUGACGUGGAGAAGACCCCCCAGCUCCAACAGUCAGCUGGUGCGUGGGUCGUCUCGGAAGCAUGCAGAUCCAAAAGCCCCAGCUCGGCUGCCGCCGUGUGAGGCAGAAUCCUGCCCAAAUUGCAGACGCGAGAAGAUAAAAAUGAUGGGUACUAUUUUGCACGACCAGCUGGUGAGGUGAUUUGUUAAGCAGCAAUAGAUUUCUGCAAGAGACGGUAAAAAACUAGAACGCAUAACAAGUGAAUGAUAACGUAACGCGUAGGGUCUCGGUUCCUGAUGAGGAGCAGCCUGGGCAAAGUGAUGGAUCAGGGGCUGUGGGGAGCGCUCCGGCCAGGAGGCUGCGCCUUCUCUGAUGGACGGUAAAACCGCAGCCCUCCCUGCUCUUAGGCAUCUGCGGUGCUGAGGAGGAACAGUGCUUCCCGGCAUCAAGAGGGGCAGGUGUCCUGAUCACACAGCGAGGGCGCAGCAGAGCCCACCUGCCCGCUGCCCUUUGCGGGGCCGGCCCAGCUCCUCCGACGGGAGAGCAAAGCCGUCCAUGCAGGGUCCGCUCUCCUUGGGCCACGCUCUUCUGGUUGAUUAAGCAACACUUCAUUUAUCUGUUGACAUUUUGGAAACAAAACCAAGUGCCCUUGACAAGACCAAGCGAGCACUGAGCCCUGAGGAAUAUUCAGAGCGGNNNNNNNNNNNNNNNNNNNNNNNNNNNNNNNNNNNNNNNNNNNNNAGAGAGAAGGCCUUUGUGUGCUGACGUGGCUCUGGGUGAGGCUGUGGAGCUGGGAGACUCUGGUGCUGAUGCUCCUAGGAUGAGUGUCCUUUUUCCCCUGCUGAGAAUGUUAUGUGGAUCCAGCGCUCAUCAGGCAGCACGGAUGGCAAACGCGAGGAGAAUUCUGCUCCCUUGCAGGCGUUCCCCAGAGGGCCAGGCUGGGCGGGCGGGCGUCGGAACUGCGCAGCCGGACUGUUCUGGGAACCAGGUCGGAUCCCUCAGUUCUGUCCUUCAAACGAGCCGAGCCACAGAUGCCCUUCUGCCCUUCAAAUAAGAAACAGUGACCUGCUGGCUUCUCCCAAAGGGUUGGACCAGAUUUAAAAAGAAAGAAACCCCCUGAGGAGCUUUCUAUAGAAAGGGCUUUGACCCCUCAAAAGACAAAACCAAACAAAAAACACUCUUGCUAUUAUUUGCCAUUUCUCUAUGGUACAAUCUGAGUCUAUUUUUUUCUGAAGCAGAAAGCCUCGGAGUUAGAGGCUUGUGAGACACAAAAGUAAUGGGUGAAGGGUAACAGGGAGUGGUGGGGACUGCGGCAAACGGACGGAGGACAGGCCUCUUCUAAGGGGGCCACCAUGUCUCAGCCCCAGCCUUUUGCUGAGAGGAGGAAAGCCUGGUCUGAUUGUGAAGAAAAUCUAGAAAUUCAGAAGUUUAUAUAGAUCUUUUCUUACAGAAGUGAUCACAAUUUGAAAAAUAAUGCGUCAGUUAAACCUAAUAUAUAUAGAAGUAGUAUCUGGAUGUGCAAAAAGGGGUGUAACUGCCUUGCAGGGUUGUGAAGAUGAUAAAAGGAGGAAAAAAUAGAUGUAACAACAAUUAGUGAAUAUGCUUCAGAAAAACCUACAUAAAUAACAGAAAUAGGCCACAGUCAACUGACAGACGGUAUUUUCCAAAGAUGAUUGCAACAUCUCCUGUGGCACCUGCUACUUUUAUUAUGUAACGGUGACACUCCUUUUAUCAAGGGAUGGGGCCUCUUUCCUCCCCUUGAACCUGAGCAGGACUUUACGAUUCCCUGAAGCACUGUGGAAGUGACACUAUGUGACUUGCAAUGGCCAGUCUGCCUUGCCCUCUGCGGUGCUGGCUCCUGCUGCCCAGCCCCCACGCCAUGAGGGAGCUCAAGCUGCCCAUGGAGAGAUCCGCAUUGCGAGGAACCAGCCCACACCCCCAGCUGGGCUCCUGCCAGAGCCGCCCCAGCUAGCGGGCAAGGCGAGGGGACUGAGCAGCCCCAGUGGAGACCACGUCCAGCAGAGACACCACCCCUGACCAGGCCUGCCUGAGCACAGGUUCAUAUGCAAAAGCAAUUAACGUUUUGGGUCACUAAGCUUUGGGUGAUCUUUUAUGCAGCAAGUGAUAACUGGACCAGGAUCAAAAAUUAACUGUUGGGAGUCGCUGGUGGCCGAGCAGGUUAAGGAUCCAGUGUUGUUACUGCUGUGGCUCGGAUCAUUGCUGUGGCACAGGUUUGAUCCCCAGCCUGGGAACUUCUGCAUGCCACGGGCACAGCAAUAACAACAACAAAAAAAUAAUAAUAACUUUAAAGCCAGAGACAUUCCUGAAAGGGUGAGGAAAGUGACCCAAGGCCAACUUAGGGCCUCCUAAAGCACAGGAAUACAAUUUGUUUGUUUGUUUUUGUUUUUACCAUUUCUUGGGCUGCUCCCUCAGCAUAUGGAAGUUCCCAGGUGUGCCACCCCCCCCCCCAAAAAAAGCCAAAAAAAAAGUUUACUAGCAAUAAAUGCUGGGGAGGGUGUGGAGAAAAGGGAACCCUCAUACCUGUUGGUGGGAAUGUAAAUUGCUACAACCGCUAAGGAGAACAGUAUGCAGCUUCCUUACAAAACGAAAUAAUAGAACUACCAAACGGAAGUUCCUGUCGUGGCUCAGAAAAAAAGGUUUGAUCGCUGGUCUCUGUGGGUUAAAGAUCUGGCGUUGAGGUGAGCUGUGAUGCAGGUUGCAGACGCAGCUCAGAUCCUGCAUUGCUGAGCCUGUGGUGUAGGCUAGCUGCUACAGCUCCAAUUCAGCCCUUAGCUUGGGAACUUUCAUAUGCUAUGGGUGCAGCCCAAAAAGAUUAAAAAAAAAAAAAAAGGUUUAAAAAAAGAACUAUCAUAUAAUGCAAAGUGAUUCAGUUAUAUGUAUAUGUAUAUCCAUUCUUUCUCAGAUUCUUUUCCCAUUUAGGUUAUUAUUCAAUAUCAACUAGACUUUCCUGUGCUGUACAAUUGAUCCUUGUUGAUCAUCUAUUUUAUAUCUUUUCUCUAUUUUACAUUUUAUUUACACUUAUAUUUAUUAUAAAUAAAAAUGCACUUAUGUUAAGCAUAUACUUUGGUGAGUUUUGAUAAAAAUAUACAACCUCCACAUUCCACCUUCAUCAAGAGAUGCACAUUUAAAUCACCCAAAAAAGACCUCUUGCCCCCUGCCCCUGCCCCAGGCGACCAGUAAUCUGCUUUCUACCAUUACAGAUGAUUUUGCCUGUUCUAGGAAUCAUAAAUUAGAAGAAUAACAUAUUAUUUUCUCUUUCAUGUCUUGCUUCUUUCAUGCAGCAUGUUUCUAAAUUCAUUCAUGUUUUUAUGGUAUCAAGAGUGUGUUCCCUUUCAUUAAUGAAGAGCAUUCUAUUAUACAAAUAUAUAACAAUUUGUCCAUCCCUUCAGUGGUUGAUGCACAUCUGGGCUGCUUCCAAUUUUCCACCAUCUUCCACAGAAUACAGGUGUAACGAACACUGGCAUACAAGUCUGUGUGUGGGAAUAUGUCUUCAUUUCUUCUGGGUAAAUACCUAGGAGCGGAAUUGCUGAUCGCGAAGGUAAGUGGAUGUUUAAUUUAAUUUUUUUUUAAUGUAGGUGCUUCCAUUUUGAUAAAGUCAUUCUUCUCAUAAUUUAUUCUAAAUAAAUAAUCAUCAACGUACAGGAAGAUUUAGCUACCUGGAUCUUCAUCACAACAUUUGCGACAGUUUACGUUACAACCAUGUUUCAGAGAAACACGUGGCCAUUUAAAUGGCUAUUUCAAGAUUCCAGUUCAGGUUAAGGACUUGGCGUACAUAGCUCUCUUCCGAGACUCCAAGAUUAAAUUAACAAUGGAAGGAUUAAAAAGGCAUAAACCAACAAUAAAGAAGAAAGCAGGAGUUCCCUUCGGGCUCAUUGGUUAACAAACCCAGCUAGGAUCCAUGAGGUUGAGGGUUCGAUCCCUGACCUCGCUCAGGGGGUUAAGGAUCAGUUGUUGCUGUGAGCUGUGGUGUAGGUCACAGAUGCAGCUCAGAUCUGGCAUUGCUGUGGCUGUGGCAUAGGCCAGCAGCUAUAGCUCCAAUUAGACCUGUAGCCUAGGAACCUCCAUAUGCUGCAGGUAUGGCCCUAAAACAGCAAAAAAAAAAAAAAAA